UACGGAGGGUGCAAACGUUGCUCGGAAUCAUUGGGCGUAAAGCGCACGUAGGCGGCUCGUUAAGUCGGGUGUGAAAGCCCUGGGCUCAACCCAGGAAGUGCAUUCGAAACUGCAGAGCUGGAGUCCUGGAGAGGAAGGCGGAAUUCUCGGUGUAGAGGUGAAAUUCGUAGAUAUCGGGAGGAACACCAGUGGCGAAGGCGGCGAUCUGGGGAAGAUACUGACGCUGAGGUGCGAAAGCGUGGGGAGCAAACAGG
rnacentral:rRNA from 1 species